UACAGAGGUUGCAAGUGUUGUUCGGAAUCAUUGGGCGUAAAGCGCGCGUAGGCGGUCUGGUAAGUCAGAUGUGAAAUCCCUGGGCUUAACUCAGGAACUGCAUUUGAUACUGCCAAACUAGAGUGCGAUAGAGGAAGGUGGAAUUUCCGGUGUAGAGGUGAAAUUCGUAGAUAUCGGGAGGAACACCAGUGGCGAAAGCGGCCUUCUGGGUCGACACUGACGCUAAGGCGCGAGAGCGUGGGUAGCAAACAGG
rnacentral:rRNA from 1 species